CCCGUUACACACAGGAAGAUGUGUCUGCAGCCCGGAGACUUCCCCGCGCACAGGGACCGCCCAGCAGCAGCGGCUCAGUAAAAAGGCAUCUCCUAUCUGUUCGGGUUACUACCCUUGACCAUCUGACAAUAUUUUAAACUUCAAAGCAGAAAGAAAAAGCAAAUCACUUAAAAAUGAGGAAGUGGCAUCGCUGACUACCUCAGCCUCAACAUGUUUUGCACUGAUCCAACCUGACUAGCAGAGCCGGAUUUACAUAGUGGGUGUGCCUAGGCCUAAGUUGGUCAUAAAAUGUUUUAGUAUGAUGAGGACACAAAUAUUCUGAGACAAAUUGCAGGUGUUUUUUUUAAUAAAUCUGGCCAUAGAUGGGCAGACUUUAUUCUUUGUGCGACGAACGCUCAUUCAUUUCAGUCUAACCUUCUACCAUUAACCAGUCAGAUUAAAAUAAGGAACACUAUUGUACCAGAUCCUUUAUCAUUUCUCCUGGGGCUACCCAUUAAAACAUUGAAAACCACUGAGACUAACAAACUAGCAACACACAUAUUGACGGCUGCAAAAACACUCCGAGCAGCUCAAUGGAAAAGUACUUCUCUCCCAAAACAACAGGUUCUCAUCACCAAAGUUAAAUGGGUCAGAACAAUGGAAACUAUUAGAGCAUAUUUACAAGGUAUGGGAUUGUAAGAUAUUAUCGGUAGUAAAUCUUUUAACCUGUCAGAUCAAUGUAACAACA